AGGACGAACGCUGGCGGCGUGCUUAACACAUGCAAGUCGAGCGAGGCCCUUCCUUCGGGAAGGUGCCCUAGCGGCGAACGGGUGAGUAACGCGUGGGCAACCUGCCCCUAGCACUGGGAUAACUCCGGGAAACCGGGGCUAAUACCGGAUAUGACCUUUGAGGGCAUCCUCGAAGGUGUAAAGGAUUCUGGCUAGGGAUGGGCCCGCGGCCUAUCAGCUUGUUGGUGGGGUAAUGGCCUACCAAGGCGACGACGGGUAGCCGGCCUGAGAGGGCGACCGGCCACACUGGGACUGAGACACGGCCCAGACUCCUACGGGAGGCAGCAGUGGGAAUAUUGCACAAUGGGCGAAAGCCUGAUGCAGCGACGCCGCGUGAGGGAUGACGGCCUUCGGGUUGUAAACCUCUUUCAGCAGGGACGAAGCGAAAGUGACGGUACCUGCAGAAGAAGCACCGGCCAACUACGCGCCAGCAGCCGC
rnacentral:rRNA from 1 species